CCUACGGGGUGCAGCAGUGGGGAAUAUUGCGCAAUGGGCGAAAGCCUGACGCAGCGACGCCGCGUGAGGGAUGAAGGUCUUCGGAUCGUAAACCUCUGUCAGCAGGGAAGAACGGUCACUGUGCUAAUCAGCAGUGAAUUGACGGUACCUGCAAAGGAAGCACCGGCUAACUCCGUGCCAGCAGCCGCGGUAAUACGGAGGGUGCGAGCGUUAAUCGGAAUUACUGGGCGGAAAGCGCUCGUAGGCGGUAUGUCAAGUCAAGGGUGAAAUCCCCGCGCUCAACGUGGGAACUGCCGUUGAAACUGGCAAACUGGAGUGUGUGAGAGGAUAGUGGAAUUCCAGGUGUAGGAGUGAAAUGCGUAGAUAUCUGGAGGAACAUCAGUGGCGAAGGCGACUAUCUGGCACAUAACUGACGCUGAGGAGCGAAAGCGUGGGUAGCAAACAGGAUUAGAUACCCCUGUAGUC
rnacentral:rRNA from 1 species